CACGUAGUUGGCCGCACCUUCUUCUGCAGGUACCGUCAUUUUCGUUCCUGCUGAAAGCGGUUUACAACCCGAAGGCCUUCUUCCCGCACGCGGCGUUGCUGCGUCAGGCUUUCGCCCAUUGCGCAAGAUUCCCCA
rnacentral:rRNA from 1 species